rnacentral:rRNA from 1 species
AUGCCGACGGCUCUAUUUAAUCGCAACCGCGGCGGUGAGUCGGCAACAUCUACUCGCUACUCGAUUCGUCGCGCGGGUGGAGGUAGCUCACUCAUGGCCAGGGCCAGGACCGCGAUGGGUCGAUGCCUUCGCCGCCGCCGGCCGCGGGCGUCCCGCCGCGACGACCGGAUCAGCGCCCUCCCCGACGACCUCCUCCUUUCGGUCCUGCGCCGCCUCGACAUCCGGACGGCGCUCGGCACCGCGGCCCUCUCCAGGCGCUGGGCCCGCCUCAACCGCGAGCUCCCAGUCCUCAGCUUCAGCGUGGAGAGCAUGCUCCCGCCGCGCUACCACCGAUGGGUCCAGCUCUGCCGCAACAUUGGGGGAGCUAUUUUUUUCCAGUACAAAAGGCACGCCAUGACACGGGAGCUCAUGCCCAACAUCACAAGGUACGAGCACCGGGCCAUGCGCGCCCUGACCAGGUCCGUCGAGAGCUUCUUGGGCACCGUCGCUCGCCGGAGGAGGGUCACCAGGCUCAGGGUGGACUUCUUCGUCACCCACAACACCGGCUGCCUGAAUCAGCUCAUCGCGGAGGCCAUCGACGCUUGGGGGGUGGACGACCUCGAAGCUGUUGCCAAGCCAAUCUACAAUCAACCAGGAGCAGUCCACAGCUUUGGCGGCCAUGGCGGCCUGUGCAAGGAGCCCAGCGCGGCACGCCUGCAAAGCCUCAAGCUUGGAGGCUGCGUGCUCCCGCCGCUGCACGAGUACGGCGCGCUCACCGCGCUCGUCCUGCAGGACAUACCGGAUUCGACGCCCGAGGCGACCUACGAGGGCGUCUUCACCUCGUGCCUGCAACUGCAGGUGCUGCACCUCAUCUCCUGCAGGUGCAGCGGGGGCAGGGGCGUGGUCGUGGACGCCCCCAUGUCGAAGAUCAGGGAGCUCGUCGUGGAAAAAUGCAGGUUCAGACGGAUACGCCUGAGGGCUCUUCCUAGCCUCGAGAGCCUUGCCUCCGAGGGGAUCAUAGUGCAUUUGGAGGAGUCCACCUCGUUUCCCUGUCUCAGGAAAUAUAACCUCACCUUGUGCCUCGGGAUGACACUGCAAAGGUUUCGCCAAGCUCUAUCGCAGCACCUUAAGAUAGAGCCUGAAACGUUUCUUCGACGCAUGCCGGGCAUAACCAGCCUGAUUCUCAGGCUCACUGGGCCUGACAGAUGGAUCGUGCCGUCGAGCUCCCCAUCGCCGCCGUUGUUACCGAACCUGAGGAGGCUGCUGGUCGCCGAUGUGCCUUCAUCCUGGGAUGUCUCGUGGCCCCGUCUCCUCCUCGAGACGGUGCCGUCCCCGGAGACCCUCCACAUCCACAUCGCAGCUUGCGUAGAAGAGGAGCCCGGUGAUGAGAUACCCUGGCGACACACCAUGGUUCGGCACCAUCAUCACUUGGAGGAGUUUGUGAUGGUUGGUUAUGAGGGAACAAAGAGGCAAACCUACUUUGUCAAGUUUCUCAUGGGAGUAUGCACGGUGUUGCGCAAUGUCACAAUGUUCAGGAACGGGCAUGCUCGGAACAAGGGGCACUGGGACUGGGAGUUGGUGACACAUCAACAUUUGUGGACCGACGAGGAGAAGGACGACACACUGAAGCACAUCAUGGAUGGGGUUUCUCCCUCAGCUGCCCAAGUUCGACUAGUUUUAGGCUGA